rnacentral:rRNA from 1 species
AUGAAUGUCGACGCUGCGUUUUCAGAGGAUACUUACUCGGGGGCGUGCGGCGCCAUUAUCCGGGACAACAGGGGCUUUUUUGUUGCGGCAUCUACAGCAAAACUUGAACAUGUCACGGAUGUGUUAUCGGCUGAAGCUGCAGCUCUGGUUGAAGGCUUAAAAUUGGCUAAUACAGUUGGGAGCAACUCCUUGUUGGUGCAAACUAAUAGUCUGAUUUUAGUGGAGGCUCUCCAACAAAACUCUGGGCACUCGAUGGUGGCAGGCCCAAUUCUUGAAGAAUGUCGUUUACUAAUAGUUAAUUUCGGAAAGGUCGUUAUUAUGCAUUGUAACCGCGAAUCAAAUAUGGUGGCUCAUGUGCUAGCGCUGAAUGGAAGUGUUGAUCCACCAAACUUGUGGUUGGACUCACCUCCAGUUUUUAUUUCUGAUUAUUUAACGGACGAUGUAAGCGUUGUUUAA